ACGCUGGCGGCGUGCCUAAUACAUGCAAGUCGAACGAGAGCGACCGGUGCUUGCACUGGUCAAUCUAGUGGCGAACGGGUGAGUAACACGUGGGUAACCUGCCCAUCAGAGGGGGAUAACAUUCGGAAACGGAUGCUAAAACCGCAUAGGUCUUCGAACCGCAUGGUUUGAAGAGGAAAAGAGGCGCAAGCUUCUGCUGAUGGAUGGACCCGCGGUGCAUUAGCUAGUUGGUGAGGUACGGCUCACCAAGGCCGUGAUGCAUAGCCGACCUGAGAGGGUGAUCGGCCACAUUGGGACUGAGACACGGCCCAAACUCCUACGGGAGGCAGCAGUAGGGAAUCUUCCGCAAUGGACGCAAGUCUGACGGAGCAACGCCGCGUGAGUGAAGAAGGUUUUCGGAUCGUAAAACUCUGUCGUUAGAGAAGAACAAGUGCUAGAGUAACUGUUAGCGCCUUGACGGUAUCUAACCAGAAAGCCACGGCUAACUACGUGCCAGCAGCCGCGGUAAUACGUAGGUGGCAAGCGUUGUCCGGAUUUAUUGGGCGUAAAGCGAGCGCAGGCGGUUUCUUAAGUCUGAUGUGAAAGCCCCCGGCUCAACCGGGGAGGGUCAUUGGAAACUGGGGAACUUGAGUGCAGAAGAGGAGAGUGGAAUUCCAUGUGUAGCGGUGAAAUGCGUAGAUAUAUGGAGGAACACCAGUGGCGAAGGCGACUCUCUGGUCUGUAACUGACGCUGAGGCUCGAAAGCGUGGGUAGCAAACAGGAUUAGAUACCCUGGUAGUCCACGCCGUAAACGAUGAGUGCUAAGUGUUGGAGGGUUUCCGCCCUUCAGUGCUGCAGUUAACGCAUUAAGCACUCCGCCUGGGGAGUACGACCGCAAGGUUGAAACUCAAAGGAAUUGACGGGGACCCGCACAAGCGGU
rnacentral:rRNA from 1 species